GACAGAGGAUGCAAGCGUUAUCCGGAAUGGUUGGGCGUAAAGAGCUCGUAGGCGGUCUGUUGCGUCCGCUGUGAAAACCCGGGGCUUAACCCCUGGCUUGCAGUGGAUACGGACAGACUAGAGGUAGGUAGGGGAGAAUGGAAUUCCCGGUGUAGCGGUGAAAUGCGCAGAUAUCAGGAAGAACACCCGUGGCUAAGGCGGCUCUCUAGUACGGUACUGACGCUGAGACGCGAAAGCGUGGGGAGCGAACAGG
rnacentral:rRNA from 1 species